rnacentral:rRNA from 1 species
GUAGUCAUAUGCUUGUCUCAAAGAUUAAGCCAUGCAUGUCCAAGUAUAAGCAAUUAUACCGUGAAACUGCGAAUGGCUCAUUAAAUCAGUUAUCGUUUAUUUGAUAGUACCUUACUACUUGGAUAACCGUGGUAAUUCUAGAGCUAAUACAUGCUGAAAACCCCAACUUCGGGAGGGGUGUAUUUAUUAGAUAAAAAACCAACGCCCUUCGGGGCUUCUUGGUGAUUCAUGAUAACUUUACGGAUCGCAUGGCCUUGCGCCGGCGACGGUUCAUUCAAAUUUCUGCCCUAUCAACUUUCGAUGGUAAGGUAUUGGCUUACCAUGGUUUCAACGGGUAACGGGGAAUUAGGGUUCGAUUCCGGAGAGGGAGCCUGAGAAACGGCUACCACAUCCAAGGAAGGCAGCAGGCGCGCAAAUUACCCAAUCCCGACACGGGGAGGUAGUGACAAUAAAUACUGAUACAGGGCUCUUUUGGGUCUUGUAAUUGGAAUGAGUACAAUUUAAACCUCUUAACGAGGAACAAUUGGAGGGCAAGUCUGGUGGACAUUCAGCUCCCAUUCUGCUGACGCCAGGGAUAGCCGGGCAUCUCGCGAGAGGUGUUAUGCCGGCUAGUCGAUGUACCUACUUAACUUGAUGGGGAGGUACCGGCAAGACAACCUGGAUCGGGGAAGGCUAAGGUAUCGAGUGCGAUGCUAUGCUAAUCCCGAGCAGAGCUGCCACGGAGCGAUCUGUGGACAGCCUGUGUAGAGCACGCUAAGGUGUCGGUCAGCUCACGUAGUUGGCUUAAGGGACGUGCCAUUCCCAUCCGAAAGGGUGGCUGUCAGCAAUAGCGCCCAUCACGCGAAGGCUGGCAGAUUCAGACAUGUAAUAGGGAUUCACGCAUCAAUAUCCAUGUUUGAAGGUUUACAAUAGGCCAGCAGCCGCGGUAAUUCCAGCUCCAAUAGCGUAUAUUAAAGUUGUUGCAGUUAAAAAGCUCGUAGUUGAAACUUGGGUCUGGCUGGCAGGUCCGCCUCACCGCGUGUACUUGUCCGGCCGGGCCUUCCUUCUGGAGAACCUCAUGCCCUUCACUGGGCGUGUUGGGGACCAGGACUUUUACUUUGAAAAAAUUAGAGUGUUCAAAGCAGGCCUUUGCUCGAAUACGUUAGCAUGGAAUAAUAGAAUAGGACGUGCGGUUCUAUUUUGUUGGUUUCUAGGACCGCCGUAAUGAUUAAUAGGGACAGUCGGGGGCAUCAGUAUUCAAUUGUCAGAGGUGAAAUUCUUGGAUUUAUUGAAGACUAACUACUGCGAAAGCAUUUGCCAAGGAUGUUUUCAUUAAUCAGUGAACGAAAGUUAGGGGAUCGAAGACGAUCAGAUACCGUCGUAGUCUUAACCGUAAACUAUGCCGACUAGGGAUCGGGCGAUGUUCUUUUUUUUGACUCGCUCGGCACCUUACGAGAAAUCAAAGUUUUUGGGUUCUGGGGGGAGUAUGGUCGCAAGGCUGAAACUUAAAGGAAUUGACGGAAG